CACAUGCAGGAUUCCAUCAUCUUUAUAGAUGUACACAGCCACGUGAGUUGUUAAUCUCCGAUCGAUCAAUUGUUAAUCGAGCGGAUGUGCGUGUACAUGAAUCGCGUCGCUGAUGAAUGCUGACUCUAACUAAGGAUGAAAGUGAAAUUUCAAGCAACUCAUGACAGAACGAUGACAGCAACAACCAUUGUGAUGUUUCGCUAUGACUAUCAAGGACGCUGAAGGGAUCAAAUGCAGGCAAAUGAGGUUGGUAACCCUUUCUCUGGGGGUUGUACCUGGGCGACCUUGUGGACCAGGUGAUCCAGGACGACCUGGACGGCCUCGACCAGGUGGACCAGGUGGACCUUGCAUCUGUGCUGCCAUCUCAGUCAUCUGUUCUGUACAUGUACGUACCAAUAAAAUGAACAGUUAUCUUCUA